AUGGUGCGAGCACGUCUCUGCUUCCCAAACCUUCCCAAACCUUCCCAAACUGUCCUGGCACGGGGUCCCAGCUGCGCUUCCUCCCUGCGGGGUGUCGGGGAAGGCACGGCGCUGUGCCCGUGGCGUGGCGUGCCGGCAGAUGGCAGCCCCAGCGUGGGUCCUGGCUGUCACCACGGGCUGGCAGCGCUGGCACCGCGCUCCCUCCGCUUGGGGCAGGACCCUCAGCUGGGGCUGUGUGGUGUCACUGUCCCCCGUUGUCACCCCUCGGGGACACAGCUGAGCCCCCCCAAUCCUUCACCAUGCUCCCAGCACCACCACCUCACCCUAUAUCCCUGCCAUUCCCCGGGCAGGAUCGCUGCCCCAGCCUCAUCCCCACACCAAAACCGACCCCGCACUGGGGGUAACGCCCCCCCCGGUGCCCCCUGCUCCCACCCUGAGGACCGGGGAGCGCUCCCAGCACGGCGCAGCCCACGUGCGCCUGCGGCCGCUUCACCUGCGCAGCACAAAGGCAGCGCUGUUCGGCCUCCCCGUGCCACAGCCCCAGCACAAAGCGCUGCCUGUUGCAGCGGGGCCGCCCCGAGCCCUGCGGCCGGCGGUGUCCGGGGGCUCCCGUGGUGCCGGGGGGGGGGGCCGGGGGCACCGGUGGCAGCGGGGACGGCACGGCCCAAACCAGCCCCGGUGUCCUUGCGCAGGGCUGAACGGGGACAGCGUCUGCGUGCCCUGGUUUUGGGGUGUUUGUUGCCCCCAGGGCUGUCUCCUCUGCGCCCCCCCCAGCAAGGUGGUGCUGUGCCAUGGCUGGAUGCAUGCUGGGGACUGCGCUGUCCCCAUCCUGGUGUCCCCAUCCUGGUGUCCCAAGGGGCAGCUGCUGCUUGCCCAGCCUGGCUCCAGGCCCACGGGGGACACGCUGCGUGCCACGUGGUGCCGGCGGCAGGGAGGAGGGCACGCUGCCGUGGUGGCAGCCCCGGGGACCUUGAGCUCCUGGCGCUGCCUGGAGACGUCCCCGCUGCCUGCUGGCGCCAGGCAAACACGGGUGACGCAGCACGGCCCCCGGGGGCACCGGCAGCUCCCGCAGCAGGGCCGGGCGCCUGCUCCUGCUGCGCACCCCGGUAG
rnacentral:lncRNA from 1 species